UACGUAGGGGGCAAGCGUUGUCCGGAAUCAUUGGGCGUAAAGAGCGCGUAGGCGGCCCAGUAAGUCCGCUCUGAAAGUCAGGGGCUCAACCCCUGAAUGCGGGUGGAUACUGCUGGGCUAGAGUCCGGAAGAGGCGAGUGGAAUUCCUGGUGUAGCGGUGAAAUGCGCAGAUAUCAGGAGGAACACCGGUGGCGAAGGCGGCUUCCUGGACCGACACUGACGCUGAGGCGCGAAAGCUAGGGGAGCAAACGGG
rnacentral:rRNA from 1 species